AUGACCAUUGCGUGCUUAGCCAAGGAUGUCCCACCUGCCUUCGUCAACUUCAGUUGGGACGAUUACAACAAUGUCAGCAUCAACGCAAAGUACGUCACACGAUAUCCUACUAUCAGCAAUUCUGCUGGGACGUUCUCUUCAGUCUCCCAGGUGGCCGUCUCAGCCAAUGAUUGGCGGAAUUUUCAACCAUUCUAUUGCAAAGCUGAACAUGUCAAUGGAACAGCACGAGUUGUCCGCCAGACCUCAUGCAUUGAGCCUGAAGUGAUUAUCCGCGCUCCACGCCUACAAGAUUUUGAGGCUGCUAAUCCAAAUGCGACCAUUGUCUGCAUGGCUGUUAAUUUGUACACCACGAGCACCACAGUCCAGUGGCUGAAGAACGGACAUGCUGUUGACUCUGACUUCGCCAACACUGGGCCAGUUGCGGUGGGUCCGCAUGGCUACAGCAUUAUCAGUGAGCUCAUAGUCGAUAGGAGGGACUGGGUCUCGGACAAGACAUUCUCCUGCGAAGUGCACAACGAGAACUUCACCAGCAUCAAGAAUAUCAGCAAGGCCCUUGUCUGUGACCUCGGCUCGUGUUCUGAUGUGCAAGUCCAUGUGGAGACCAUGCCACCAUCCUUUACUGAAAUUUACUUGACCAAGUCGGCCAAGCUGACCUGCAGAAUUUCCAACGUGCCCUAUGACCAUGAACUUAAAGACAUGAAUGUCGUCUGGAUACGACAACGUGAUAACACCGAGCUGGAGACUAGAAUUGGACAGGCUAUGGAGCAAGAAAACAAUGAGCUGAUAUCUGUAGAUGUAACGGCAACUGUGUGCCCAGAAGAGUGGGACAGCGGGGAGACCUUUAGGUGUAAAGUUUCCAUUCCCUCCCUUCUUCCCACAGCUGAAGUAAGAACCCUGAAGAAACUUAAAGGUGGUACUCCCCAUGCUCCUGCAGUCUACGUCCUCCCCCCGCCCUCGGAACAGCUGGCUUUGAAGGAAACAGCGACCCUCACUUGCCUGAUGAAAGACUUCUACCCCAACGACUUCUUCGUGAAAUGGCUGCGGAACGAUGAGCCGGUGGCAGAUUCAGAGUACUUCACCAGCAAGCCCAUCCAGGAAUCCAAGACCCCCGAGCGGUAUUUCACCUACAGCAUGUUGAACGUCAAAGAGCAGGAUUGGAACUACGGAGCCAUUUACACAUGCGUGGUGGGACAUGAGGCACUCCCCCUCCUGACAACUCAGAAGACCCUAGACAAGAACACGGAAAUUAACUUCCAUUUAUCAUCCAAAGCUUACCUUGAUGGGAUUGUAGACCCGGAUGAUGAUGAAGGACUCCUAAACAUCUCGUCAAACCUUUCCACUGUCAUUGUCCUCUUCCUUGUGAGCCUUUUCUACAGCGCAACCGUGACUGUCAUCAAGGUGAAAUAACAAAGGGAACAAUAUUGGACAAUGAUCCAUCAGUGGCCUAAAAGAGUCAGACGCCACCAACUUUCAUUUUC